GGCUAUUGCAGUCGAGGGGCAGCACAGGGUAGCAAUACCGGGUGGCGACCGGCAAACGGGUGCGGAACACGUACGCAACCUUCCUUCAAGAGAUGGAUAGCCCGAAGAAAUUCGGAUUAAUACAUCGUAAAAUCACAGGGUGGCAUCACUUAAUGAUUAAAGAAUUUCGCUUGAAGAUGGGCGUGCGCCUGAUUAGGUAGUUGGUGAGGUAACGGCUCACCAAGCCGACGAUCAGUAACUGGCGUGAGAGCGCGACCAGUCACACGGGCACUGAGACACGGGCCCGACUCCUACGGGAGGCAGCAGUAAGGAAUAUUGGUCAAUGGACGCAAGUCUGAACCAGCCAUGCCGCGUGAAGGAUGAAGGUCCUCUGGAUUGUAAACUUCUUUUAUCUGGGACGAAAUCACUUUUUUCUAAGAGUGUUGACGGUACCAGAGGAAUAAGCACCGGCUAACUCCGUGCCAGCAGCCGCGGUAAUACGGAGGGUGCAAGCGUUAUCCGGAUUCACUGGGUUUAAAGGGUGCGUAGGCGGAUUUGUAAGUCCGUGGUGAAAUCUCCAGGCUUAACCUGGAAACUGCCAUGGAUACUAUAAGUCUUGAAUAUUGUGGAGGUUAGCGGAAUAUGUCAUGUAGCGGUGAAAUGCAUAGAUAUGACAUAGAACACCAAUUGCGAAGGCAGCUGGCUACACAAAUAUUGACGCUGAGGCACGAAAAGCGUGGGGAUCAAACAGGAUUAGAUACCCUGGUAGUCCACGCCCUAAACGAUGAUUACUCGACAUUUGCGAUAUACAGUAAGUGUCUGAGCGAAAGCAUUAAGUAAUCCACCUGGGAAGUACGACCCGCAAGGGUUG
rnacentral:rRNA from 1 species